GGUAAUUUAUCACGGUGGAAUUAGGCGGAUGCGGGAACUAGCCCUCUGCUCUUUGGAGGAGCCAGGAAAGGCGGAGGGCUGGGAAGGUGGGUCCUGUCUGGAGGAGAACAGUGGUACGUGUGUUGGGGGUCAUCAGAUUUCCUGCAGCCCUCUCCACCGUGUCUUACAGGCUGGGUCUCCCGUGUGGAUCCCUCUGGAGCUGCAUCCUGUUUGCACCAUGGGAUUUGAUGCUACAUGGAUCUGAAAGGAAGGUCAAUGGAUAUUGUGUGAGGACACUUGGACUCUUGCCCGGCCUGUGGAGGUACCUUGGCAAGACUCAGUAAACUUCUGAAGAGGGAGAAAAAGAUGAACAAAGUCUACCAUUGCCUUUAUCUGAGCCUGGCACAGUAUUGAGAGGGAUUUUUUCUUCCCGGGAGCAAAACACCUCUGCUGCCAUUGUACGGUGGAUAUUCCUGGUGAUGCUGGAGCAGGAUGCAAAAACAGAAGCAUCCUACAAGCAAACACAAAGACCUGUUGUUGACCUCUGCUAAGGAUGUCGUCCUGGGAAGAAGAGCUGAACCACACAGGCUGAAGCACAUGGCCUUGACAGAGGUUGGGGGGCUGUAAAUCUGCAGCUGGCCCCUGCUAACCCCUCAAGGCAGGCUCUGGCUGAACCAAGCGACGGCACAGACCCUCCAAAUAGAUGGCAUUUUGCUUCUCAUCCAGCAGCGUGCCUGGAGCCAGGAUGUGGACUCGUUGUUCACUCCUGUCCUUGUGGGUCCUGGAAACACUUGGCAGCAACAAUACCAAAGCAGGGGAAGAAAAGCCAUUUUCUGGAGAUCACCAGCUCUGGAGGGGACUGGGGAAGAUCCAUUUGCUAGUGAUUUCAAAGUCCUUGCUUAAGACCUCUCUGCCACGGUACCUGUUUGAAGCAAACAUUUUCAGCAGGCUCAUCACACCAAGACAGUUUGACAACCAGCGUGGGACAUCCAAAUGCAGGCUCAAAGGCAAAAGCCCUCUUCUGUCUUCACAGCUUUUUUUGUUUGCCAAACCACGUAUUUGGUCCAUGCCUCAGAGCAAAACUGAACGAUCCAGUAUUUGCAGCCAGUUUCCAGCCGAGCUUUUCCUGCAGAGCC
rnacentral:lncRNA from 1 species